AGUGCAAUUGCUGGGUCAUAUGGUAGUUCUGUUUUUAAUUUUUUGAGGAACCUCCAUAUUGUUUUCCAGAGUGGCUGCACCAGUUUGCAUUCCCACCAGCAGU
rnacentral:pre_miRNA from 1 species